UCAGCAGGGGCGCGGGAGAAUGCACCCCGCUGUUGCCACGGUAACAGCAAAAUGCUAGACGUAAUCCCCAUUGGGAGGAGGCUGGAGAAGGCAGCUUGCCCUCAAGGAGGGAAAAAAAAAAAAAGACAAAAAACAUCAGCCUGCCUCCGCACUGGUAUACCGUCUCUGCCUCUCUCAUACCUUAUGCAUGUCAAAAUAACCUUUCUGGAUUUUUUUUUUCUCCCUUUUGAUUUUUUUUGUAACGCUCAUGAAAGGCUGUGGACUGGAAGCUGGCAAAACCUUUUAUCUCCCCGCAAUAUAAGCGCAGCAGGGAAUACGCACUGCACUCUACAAAACAGUGAAGAUCAGAAAUACAGAAGAUGUGGGCCUACAUGUUGGAAGAAAGUUUCGUGAAGCCAAGACGCAGCUGGGUCUGCUUAUUUCAGCCAGCAGCGUCAGCAAUCAGGCUUGCUGCUCUGGCAUGCUGAGUUGUGGCCGUGAACUCACUGUCCUUCUCUCUCUCACAUUGAGCCUAAUUGUGAGCCAGUGGCAUGCAGGCAGAGCAGGCCCUGUGUGAUCUGGUAGAGAAGAGAGGGGUGAUCGGGCAUUGGAGUCUGCUUUGAAAAGGGGCCCCCACAGGGUAACUGACAGCCGUUUAGACGGGAAGGCCACAGAUAUUUAGGAAAAAGAAAAGAAGAAGAAAAAAAAAAUGAGCUUAAUUUGGACAAAAGGCCAGGCAAGGAGCCUGGGACCUCUGUAAGCCUGCUGACUGAAAUAAAGGCUAGGGCUAGAGGGCUCUUCUCUGACAGAUACCCAGUGACUGCUAAAGGUCAAAAGGUCAGGUCCACCUUCCCACAAACCACAAGCCUGCACAAAUUUAACUUCAUUCCCCUGUUCUGAAAAAAAUAUUCGAGUACAUCGAAGAAUGUUAAGAAUUAUUACGAAGAGGUGGGAAUGUAUCAAAAUACCAAUGAAAAAUAUGGAGUGACAUUUAAAUUGCAGAACUGGGAAAUAAAGAUUUCUAUAUCCUGUAUAUGUUUUAUAAAAAUACAUUUUCUUAGAUUCUUAAAUAUACAUAUAUUACACUGGAAAAGUGCAUUUACACUUAAUCAGAUGGUAUUAUAUUAAUGUAAAAGGAGAGCCUGAGCAUGCACUUGUAAUUGUCCCUAUACUAAGCCAACAAGUUAAAAAUCUGUUCUUAUUUGUGCAGUGUUUUAUCUUUAAGUACCAGAAAUGAAUUAAGUGUAUAUAAACAUCCAAUGACACUGCUUGUUGACAUACCCCUAUGAAUUUUCUCCACUUCUGCUAGAAUAUGUCCUGCCCACAUUUACAGUACACUAGGAAAUACUUCCGCUAUAGUACUAUUGUCUUCAAGUAUAUCUUGAAAUAUGUAUGGUAGCAUUUAUAGUGCAAUAAUAAACUAAAAUGCAUCUUACUGUAAUUGCACUUAAUGAGAAGUACCACUUGAAAUUAUUGGAUCUAUUAGAGUAUUUUAUGGAAGAAGGCAAUACAGUUUAGAAAGUCCCAGCAAUGUAGAGAUGGAAAAAUAUUUAGGACAUUACUAUUAUACCAAGGUCUUCUAGUUUUCUGGACUCCCCACAGAGCACAUUUGGGCCAUAUAAUAUGUGUCAGAUCCUUGCAAUGGUACACUAACACAAUUAUUACAGCAACGCCAACAUUUAGAUUGUGUGCCUAGAACAAGCACUGUUAAUGCUGUCAGCUGCAAAUAUUAGUAUCAAUUGUUCAUAUUUGCCUGAAUGUAAACAAUAUUCUAAGAUAUACUUCUGCAACAAUAAAUACUUGAAACGUAA